rnacentral:lncRNA from 1 species
GGUGGAGCUGGGACCGGGCGAGGCGGAGCUGGGGAGCCGAGCCAAGCGGGUUUGUGUGCCUAUGGGAACCUUCCGGGUGGGGCUGCUGCGGACCUGGGACCGGGGCGGGAUAGGGUGAGGCUGGAGAUUGCUCGCGUGCUCCCGAUCCUUAUCUGCGCCGGUUGGGGUGUCCCGUGCUGGGCUUGGUAACCUUACGUUCUUUGCUCCUGCGCGCUAGGCUCAGGACUGCCUAGCAGUGCAGCACUACAGCUAUCUGGCUCUCCUGCUGUGUCGCUCUUAAAUGCGUGUCUGGAGUUCCUCUGGCGAAUGGUGGGCUGUUUGUCUCAUUUCCUCUGAUGAGAUACUUGAGGGAUCCUUGUUGAAAAAACAUCAGCAUCCCCCUUCUGACUGAGCAAAGAGGCAAAAACCAUGGAGUCUGACUGCAACAAACCAGGAAGACAAAUCUGAUUGGCUGCUGGCUUUUUGCUCACAACCACCUUUGGUGAAUUUUGUGAAACACAAUGUAUCAAAUUAUUUAAAAAAAUCCUUUCCCUUCUACACGCGUAACUGGUGUUUAAGGUUGAGUGUGUGUGUGUGUGUGUGUGUGUGUGUGUGUGUGUGUGUAUCUGUGGUGUUAGAGCUGGGAUGUGUGUCUGUGAGUCUGGUGUUUGAGAAGGGUUGCUGGGUUCCUGUGUGGUAUAGCUUAGGGCACAUUAGUAUUGAACUAAUGGGAAGACAACAUGACUUGUUUCUAACUCUUCAUUUAUACAUUAUUGAAUAUAACCUUUUUUUCUUAUCAGUUUUAACUGUUAAGGGAGACUAACAGAUAUAUCCCUCAGAGGGUGGAAGGGUGGGUUCUUAGUGUACUUUAACAUCUAAAGGUCCCUGUGGUAACUGGACUUCCCAGAUCUCCCCGCCCCCAAAAGCCCCUGACCUGAGUCACUUUUCCGGAGCAAGUCUCUUCCAGGGUAUUUCCUUGCAGGUGGCUGUUCCUAGGGAAGUCAUUUGUCCAGAUUCUUGGCUUUGAUUCCUCUCCAAGACAGAGUGGCACUCUAAGACCUCUGGCGUCAAGAUGGUCACGACCUGCGCACCCAGGAAGGAAGACGCUGGAGCCAGGGGGGAGAUAAACAGGGUUCUGGAAGGGCCUCCCGACUACAGUAGCGGAUCAGACUCAGGAUCACCCAGUGGUCUAACACAGGCUCAGGCUGGCUCUCUGGGCAUCUGGAAUUCUCCCGAUGAAAUCUGCAAGAAACUGCAGGAGGAAAGUUCGAAACUGCAGAGACCCCAGAGAUGGCACAGGAAGGAGCUGGGUCUGACUGAGGCUACUGCACACCUCAUGGUCACAUUCCAGCACGGUUUCUGGACUUGUGCACGGGUGGGGGUUGCCGGUAGUCCUUCUAUUUAGAGUCAGGACAGAAAGCUCUUCUGUGGCCCAGAAAUCUUUGAAACUGUAUUUGGAUCUCUCCCAGCUGGUGGCCACUGUGAAUUGUAAUUUGAAAGGAAUCAACCAGAAGCACUUUCUUUCCGUUGCUAGCUGGGGAACUACCCCAGGACCUGCGCAUUAUUCUCUGGAGAGCCCGAGUGGGGUUGCGAUGUUAUGCAAAUCGAGGUUAAAAGACACCAAGCGAAGAGGAAAUCGAAAUCAACAGAGUAAACUCGUAUGAAAUCUGGAACAUUCACCACACCAGGAUCUUAAAAUCUGGGGUUUUAAGGAUGCAUAGGAGCCAAGAUGUCAGAAUGUGACCAGAAGUUGGAAAAAAAAGAUGCCCACAUCAAAUAAGUACUGAAAAGAUGAGGAAAAAGAAGUUGAUUUCCAGGAAAGAAAAACGAAUAAUCUGGGGAGCUGAAGAGAUAACUUAUUGGUUAAGAGCGUGUGUUGCUUUUCUGGAGAACUCAGGUUUAAUCUCUAGCACCUACAUGGUAGCUCACAAGCAUCUAUAACUACAAUCCGAGAAUAUCUAAUUCCCUCUCCUAGCCUCUGCAGGCAAUGAAUGCACACGCCACCCAUUAAUGCAGGUAAAACACCCACACAAAAUGA